rnacentral:tRNA from 1 species
GGAGAUGUAGCUCAGAUGGUAGAGCACCAAAAAGCAUGUCUUGUCAAAGACAUAAACAGCAAUCCUUCUUGGGUACUGGGUGUCACAGGUUCGAGUCCUGUCAUCUCCA